rnacentral:rRNA from 1 species
GACAGAGGUGCCGAGCGUUAGGCGGAAUCACUGGGCUUAAAGCGUGUGUAGGCGGAUCGUUAAGUACCUUGUGAAAUCCCACGGCUCAACCGUGGAACUGCUGGGUAUACUGGCGGUCUUGAGCCACCUAGGGGCGAGCGGAACAAACGGUGGAGCGGUGAAAUGCGUAGAUAUCGUUUGGAACGCCAACGGUGAAAACAGCUCGUUGGGGGUGUGCUGACGCUGAGACACGAAAGCCAGGGGAGCGAACGGG